CGUCGGAAUCUUCGUGUGGUCUCUUCACAGUCUUGUUGAGCAUAGUGUUGUUUUCCACAGGGCCGUUGCCUUCCACAGCUAUUUCAGACCUGAAAACAAACAGGAGGUGGCAGGAGCUUCAUGAGAACUACAGCUGCUGGUGGAACAGGAAAUACACCUCCCGGGACGGGAUGUAAACCUGGAGCUGUGGGAAGAAAAUCUGAGUGAAACCAGUGCAAAAGAGCUAGACUUCAAUUACUUGUGCAGCAUUAUUAGCUGGUGCAAAUAAUGACUACCCUGUCACUUUUGCCUCUAGUAAUUACAUAUUGCUUACUCAUUGAUCCGAAGCCUGCGAGCAGUGUGUGUAACAGCUAAUUACUGUUUACCAGACCCCAAACUACUUGUACUUAUUUCCAUGUGACCUUAGUAUUAAGUAAAAUAUAUGUGCCUAAAGCAAACCAAUGCACUAACAGCCUAGAAUUUACGUACAGGUGUAGAUGACUGAAGACUAGGAAAGUCUCUGUGAUUAGAUUCACUAAACAAACAGGUUCAUAACUUGCCUUCAGGUGAAGUACAGCCACUUCUGACAACCUCUGACUUACGUGCUAAGUGUCUUGGCUGAAAUGGAAUCAUUUGCUGAGUGUCCGGUUUUGGAUAUUCAGGUUUUCUGUCUACUUCAUCUUUGAGAACAGGCACAAUGGAAGGUGCAACCACAGGGUCUGGAAUUAUAGCUGCCAGCUUGGCACGGGAGACAUCCUGCAAAAGGCAAUUAGCAAGGACUGAAUUUGGCAGGAUCACAUUGUUUGUUGAAAUUACAGAAUAAAACCUCUCUCUACACCAGUUGCUUAUUCUCACUUUGUCAUCGUUAUAAUUUCAGAUGUCCUCUUAAGACCAUCUGGACUCAACUUGCACAUUUCCAUCAAACAUUUAUUCCUACAGUGUCCCAGCUGGGAGUGGAAACAUUUGGUUUUGUUACUGAAUGGGAUCAUAUCUGUCAUUUCUGAGGGGCUCCCUUUUUUAGGUUAAAAAGGUUUAGGUGAACAGGUGCAGACCACUAGGCCUUCACAACUAUCAAUUCUCCUUCAUUUCAUUCCCUAGAUGGCUUUAGCUGGAGAAGAAAUAAAGCAUAAGGAAGUCAGCAGGCAUGCAAAGCAUCAGUUCAAAGAGGAUUACAUUUUGGCAUGUUAAAAGCAACAGAAAUCAGCCCAAGGGCUGAACCGUUUUGGGUACACCCUGCCUCACAGCAGGACCUACUCUCCUGGAAGCACACCUGUGACUUGCAAACUGUCUGAAGAGAAGUACUCAGUGGGUCAGUGAAUUAUUUCCACCUACCAGGUUAUUUUAGCACUGUGUGAAGGCCAACAACUCAGCUGCUUUGCUAACUUUGACGAGUUCUUUCUUUAUUAAAAUUACUUUCCUGAGUAAUAAAUGGAAGCUGAGAUGCUAA